rnacentral:rRNA from 1 species
AUGGUCUCGAAACUGCUCGGUGCCAUAGUGGACCAGAAGGAGCCUCUCCUGGAAGGAUCUCCACUUCAACCAGAUCAUGCUAGAGGCAUUAUUGGUGUGCCUCCAUGCACAAGAACCAUUCAAAAAUCGGUCAAUAGUACUACCGGGGAUAGAGGAACUCCUCAGCCUUCGAUGAAUUGUACACUUGACAAAGGAUGUCAGCUAGCCGCAAAGCUUAUCCAUACAGCAGAUGGACCUGAUGCGGGGAAGAGAAGUGCUCUUGGGAUCCUAAAGAUGAUCUUCGAGGUGUGGGUGGAGAUGUUGUGCUACACGGCCUACUGGUGCAAUGAGAAAUCUCAUGCCAAAAAUCUGACAAAUGGCGGUGAGCUCAUGACCAUCGUUGCAUUAAUGAUGGUGUACACCUCAAAUGGUUUUAUAAAGAAAACAAAGAAGCAGAGCGGUGCCCCAUUUUUCUGA